ACCGGCAGCUCAAGUGGUGGCCACUAUUAUUGGGCUUAAAGCGUUCGUAGCUGGUUUGAUAAGUCUCUGGGGAAAUCUUGCAGCUCAACCGGGAGACGUCUCGGGGAUACUGGCAGGCUAGAGGCCGGGAGAGGUGAGAGGUACUCCAGGGGUAGGAGUGAAAUCCUGUAAUCCUUGGGGGACCACCUGUGGCGAAGGCGCCUAACUAGGACGGCCCCGACAGUGAGUAACGAAAGCUGGGGGAGCAAACCG
rnacentral:rRNA from 1 species